UACGAAGGGAGCUAGCGUUGUUCGGAAUCACUGGGCGUAAAGCGCACGUAGGCGGAUGUGUCAGUCAGGGGUGAAAUCCCGGGGCUCAACCUCGGAACUGCCUUUGAUACAGCACAUCUUGAGUCCGGAAGAGGUGGGUGGAAUUCCUAGUGUAGCGGUGGAAUGCGUAGAGAUCCGGAAGAACACCGGUGGCGAAGGCGGCCUGCUGGGCAGUAGCUGACGCUGAUGCGCGACAGCGUGGGGAGCAAACAGG
rnacentral:rRNA from 1 species